rnacentral:rRNA from 1 species
AACGAACGCUGGCGGCAUGCCUAACACAUGCAAGUCGAACGAGACCUUCGGGUCUAGUGGCGCACGGGUGCGUAACGCGUGGGAAUCUGCCCUUCGGUUGGGAAUAACUGAGAGAAAUUUCAUCUAAUACCUUAUAAUGUCUUCGGACCAAAGAUUUAUCGCCGAGGGAUGAGCCCGCGUAGGAUUAGGUAGUUGGUGGGGUAAUGGCCUACCAAGCCGACGAUCCUUAGCUGGUCUGAGAGGAUGAUCAGCCACACUGGGACUGAGACACGGCCCAGACUCCUACGGGAGGCAGCAGUGGGGAAUAUUGGACAAUGGGCGAAAGCCUGAUCCAGCAAUGCCGCGUGAGUGAUGAAGGCCUUAGGGUUGUAAAGCUCUUUUACCCGGGAUGAUAAUGACAGUACCGGGAGAAUAAGCUCCGGCUAACUCCGUG